CAGCUCCUCACGGAUGCGCUUUCCAGCAGGAGCCGAGGGGGGCCGCACACCUUGGGAGGAAGCGGGCGCGGCAGCAGCUGGACGGAUACAGCCCGAAGCCCCCCGCGGUUUGUCAACAGCUGCUCCUCUCCUGCGUGGUGCUCGCAGUGGCGGCGAAUGCCCAGCAGAGGCCGCUGUGGCCCGAGCGUCCGGGCCGGGCUCUGAUCCAGACCUACAGGGAGCGUGAAAUGCGGACGAGACCGCGAGGGCUCCGUGCCAAAGAAGAGUGUCGAACAUCGCGCCGAUGUUUUUAGGUCAUGAUGUCUUCAUCGGUGUUCAGAGGAGGCCAGCUGGGCCACACAGCAGCAGCCUGAUGACUCCGAGUGAGCCGCGGCCUUGGGUCUGGACAUCUUCUUGCCAUGCAGUGCCAUUGGCUAAGAGCCCCUCGUUGGCAAGGCAUCGAGAAUCCAUCUCCUUAAGGCCUGGCGCUGGCACGGUAUUAGGUUCAUAAAUAUGUGCUACAUCUCAUAAAUAUAGUCAAGAUCAGAGCAAA
rnacentral:lncRNA from 1 species